rnacentral:rRNA from 1 species
AACGAACGCUGGCGGCAUGCCUAACACAUGCAAGUCGAACGAGACCUUCGGGACUAGUGGCGCACGUGUGCGUAACGCGUGGGAACCUGCCCUUAUGUUCCGAAUCACUCCCCGAAAGGGGUGCUAAUACCGGAUAAUUUAUUCGGACCAAAGAUUUAUCGCCUAUGGAUGGGCCGGCGUGGGAUUCGCUAGUUGGUAGGGUAACAGCCUACCAAGGCGACGAUCCAUAGCUGGUCUGAGAGGAUGAUCAGCCACACUGGGACUGAGACACGGCCCAGACUCCUACGGGAGGCAGCAGUGGGGAAUAUUGGACCAGGGGCGAAAGCCUGAUCAAGCAAGGCCGCGUGAGUGAUGAAGGCCUUAGGGUUGUAAAGCUCUUUUACCCGGGAUGAUAAUGACAGUACCGGGAGAAUAAGCCCCGGCUAACUCCGUG